UACGUAGGGACCAAGCGUUGUUCGGAUUUACUGGGCGUAAAGGGCGCGUAGGCGGCUUAACAAGUCACUUGUGAAAUCUCCGGGCUUAACUCGGAACGGCCAAGUGAAACUGUCAAGCUAGAGUGCAGAAGGGGCAAUCGGAAUUCUUGGUGUAGCGGUGAAAUGCGUAGAUAUCAGGAAGAACACCAAUGGCGAAAGCAGCUUUCUGGGACGGUACUGACGCUGAGACGCGAAAGCGUGGGGAGCGAACAGG
rnacentral:rRNA from 1 species